UACAGAGGGGGCAAGCGUUAUUCGGAAUUAUUGGGCGUAAAGGGCGCGUAGGCGGCUUGGCAAGUGGAAGGUGAAAUCCCUCGGCUUAACCGAGGAACUGCCCUCCAAACUGCUUUGCUUGAGGCCGGGAGAGGUGAGUGGAAUUCCCAGUGUAGAGGUGAAAUUCGUAGAUAUUCGGAGGAACACCAGUGGCGAAGGCGGCUCACUGGUCCGGUACUGACGCUGAGGUGCGAAAGCGUGGGGAGCAAACAGG
rnacentral:rRNA from 1 species